UACGGGGGGGGCAAGCGUUGUUCGGAAUUACUGGGCGUAAAGGGCUCGUAGGCGGCCAACUAAGUCAUACGUGAAAUCCCUCGGCUUAACCGGGGAACUGCGUCUGAUACUGGAAGGCUUGAAUCCGGGAGAGGGAUGUGGAAUUCCAGGUGUAGCGGUGAAAUGCGUAGAUAUCUGGAGGAACACCGGUGGCGAAGGCGGCAUCCUGGACCGGUAUUGACGCUGAUGCGCGAAAGCCAGGGGGAGCAAACGGG
rnacentral:rRNA from 1 species